rnacentral:misc_RNA from 1 species
AAGUCGUAACAAGGUUUCCGUAGGUGAACCUGCGGAAGGAUCAUUAAAGUAUUCUUCAGGCAGCCAGCGCUUCUACAGCGCGGCAGCCUAAACCUUACACACUGUGAUUAGUUUUCUUACUAUUGCUUUGGUUGAUUUUUUUAAUCGGCCAGAGGUUUUCAAAACACAAAGAUUUCAAUCUUUUUAUUAUAAAAUUCAGUCAAUGAAGUAUUAAAAUACUAUAAUCUUCAAAACUUUCAACAACGGAUCUCUUGGUUCUC